GCUCAGAGGACCUGUUGCUUCCUUUGGUCUCAGCCGUGUUUUGGCUAGAUGACACUGUCAGAUAAGGAAUUAUAUUGAAUAUUGAAAGAUGGUUGACAUGUUGGUCUCAGGCAAUGUGGUAGAUUGAUGAAAAAUGACUCCAAUUUCCCGCACAUUUUGCAGUGACUUUGCAGCUCCAAUCUAUUUCCUGAAUCUGCACUGGCCUUGGGACUGGCUUUGACCAAGAAAAUGUGGCAGUUCCAGCCGAAAUUAUGAUGCCUGGACUAGCCUGCUGGAGGAGGGGACCACAUGGGGCAAAGCAAGCAGCAAAGCUGCCUGGCUAAAUGCUGGCUGACCAGCAUUGAGACCAGCCACCGAGCCAAGCUGGAGCUCCGCCUCAUCUAAUCAGCUUUCUGUCAUUAUCUGGACCUCCCUCUGGACACCUCCUCCCACACUGUACAGUGCAUUGUCUUUAUAAGUACAUAUAUACCUUGCUAAUAUGCUGCAGGCUUCUGACAUGCCCACAUCACUUCUCCAGCCCAUGAUGUUGUACAUCUUGUAUACUCUGAGUGUUCAAGCAGUCGCCAUGAGAUAUUAAAGUUUUAAAACUCUUAA